CCAGAGGCAUGCUGGGAGCGUCAAAUGCAAAUUGAGCGUGCAGCCAGCGUUCCGCCUUUUCUACGUUGGGCCGGUUACCCACCCGGCCCAGUGCGCAGGCGCGGGAAAGUUGACCUAGAAAGUUUUGUACGAGUUGAGUGAAGAAGGCGGCAAGUUGAGUGGAGGUGGCGGCGGUGGGGCCCCGGACCAGGUGCCUCCAUGGCAGGCUCAGAAGAGCUGGGUCUCCGGGAAGACACGCUGAGGGUCCUAGCUGCCUUCCUCAGGCGUGGUGAGACUGCCGGGUCUCCUGUUGCAACUUCACCCAGAAGCCCUGCCCCAGAAGAGCCAACAGACUUCCUGAGCCGCCUUCGAAGAUGUCUUCCCUGCUCCCUGGGGCGAGGAGCAGCCCCCCCUGAGUCCCCUCGGCCUUGCUCUCUGCCCAUCCGCCCCUGCUACGGUUCAGAGCCUGGCCCAGCUACUCCAGACUUUUAUGCCUUGGUGGCCCAGCGGCUAGAACAGUUGGUUGAAGAGCAACUAAAAUCUCCAUCUAGCCCAGAGUUACAGGGUCCCCCGCUCACAGAGAAGGAAGCCCUACUGCGGAGGCUGGUGGCCCUGCUGGAGGAGGAGGCAGAAGUCAUUAACCAAAAGCUGGCCUCGGACCCCGCCCUGCGCAGCAAGCUGGUCCGCCUGUCCUCCGGCUCUUUCACUCGCCUGGUGGAGCUGUUCUGCAGCCGGGAGGACCGAUCUCGCCCAAGCCCAGCAUGCCCUGGGCCCCCGCCUCCUUCUCCGGAGCCCCUGGCCCGCCUGGCCCUGGCCAUGGAGCUGAGCCGGCGCGUGGCCGGGCUGGGGGGCACCCUGGCCGGACUCAGCGUGGAGCACGUGCACAGCUUCACGCCCUGGAUCCAGGCCCAGGGGGGCUGGGAGCUGGCCAAGUGUGUUUGAGGAACACGGAGGAGGAGGCCAGUAGGGCUGGAGCAGGGUGAGCAGGCGAGAGGUGACAGCAGGAGAGACACCGGGCCAGCCAGGACCCUGUGGUCACGUUAAGAACUUGGACUUUGACUGGGAGGGCAUCCUGGCUGUUUCACCUGUGGACUUGAACUUGCCAUUGGACUGAGCUCUGCCUCAGAAGCUGCUACAAGAUUACACCUCAUGUCCCUUCCCUCUGCCUGUGCUUUUCCAAGCCUUCCUGUUCCACUCAGGACUGUGGGGUGGUGGUUGCCAUUCCUAUUUUUGCCAAAAAUAAAUUGUUUAAAACUUUUCGUAUUAAAAGCUUUACAAA